rnacentral:lncRNA from 1 species
UCAUCUUCUGGUGAUGAGGUUUCAUAUUCUCGUGGUGAGCCUUUAUCUUCAUCACACGAUGAAAGGAGACGACCUACGACAUAUGCUCGUAGAAGACGCGUAAAAAAAUAUCGUGCGGACGUCAUUCAUGAGCAUAAGCAUGAGGAGUACGACGAGUAUAUACAACACGAGUAUGCCGAUGAUGACUAUGUUGAGGAGGAGGAUGUUUAGCAGCAAGAUGUUUAGCAGCAUGUGACACCUCCUUGCUUACCCAUUAUACCCAGCACGAUGCAUUUGCCAUAUGGCAAGGUCGGGUUAGUCAUAAACCUAAAUGUUAAUUGUUCGUUAAUUGUUAAUUUAUUUUUGUUAUAUAAUUUUGUGUUUUUAUGUAGGAUCGAAGGGAGAUCAAGAUGAUCUCCCGUGGAAAAAAACUAUCUCAAUGUCGAUGUUGGGUUCCUUAGUGAACCUAUCAUACGAGUAUGUUGAUCAUGGAUUGGUCGUUGUCCUUGCGGAGAGGUGACACCUGG